UCUUCAAUAGUAUAGUGGUUAGUAUCUCCGCCUGUCACGCGGAUGACCUGGGUUCGAUUCCCAGUUGGAGAG